rnacentral:lncRNA from 1 species
CUCCAUCUGUCACAAAAAUUAAGGCUAAAUCUCCUCUCCAGAAGCAGAGGGAGCCGGGGCUCCGACGCGCUCAGCGUCGGGCUGUCUGCCUCUCCCUAGAGGCCAAGUGAAUUUGAAAUGGCAAAAGUCACAGCCGGAGGCCCAGCACUAGGAGAUUCCUCCGGCUGCGGGAAAUCUUCCUGUACCUGCUGAAGCUGCUGCGUUCCUCAGAGGCGCUUGGUCUGCCGUGGGAAGCUGCACCUCUGCAGUCCCCAAAACCAAAAUCAAACCUUAAAAGAGCCAGACUGAGGCAGAGGUGCUGAGCAGCUAAUUGGAGGGGAUAGUAUGAGCCUCCAAAGAUUAGGGAAGAAAAUUGCAGUUGAAGAAAACUUGCUUUGGUUCAAUGCAAAAAUAAUGGGAUGAAUGGCAUGCUGAAAUAUCAUAUGACUUACGAAAAUGAUGAAUGGUUUAUUGAAUCUACAUAUGUGGAACCCAUGAAUGGGAGUCGGAGAAGGGGGCAACUGUAUACGCAAAAAGCUAUCAUAAUUGCCAAAAUAGUGAUAACAAUGUUGAAACACUACUGGGAUUACUACUGUUAAUGACUACCAGUGAUCAAGCACCUCCCCUGCCCCAGUGUUUGCCUGCCUUGUUUGAAGACACGAAAAAAUGUACACAAAAUGAUUUAGAACUGUUGAACUUUUCAGAAAAUAAUUUAAAAUCAUCUACCUCAUAACUAAAGGUGAAGGAAAUGAAGUAGAAGGAUGUUACAUACCUUGUUCAAAGUGACAUAGCUGAGUCUGCUUGGACUGUGGUUCAAGCCAUGCAGCCUAACUCUAGAACCCAUGCUUUGCUACCUGACUUUCCAGACGUAGGAGGCAAA